rnacentral:lncRNA from 1 species
GUUAAGUCUGGCUCUCUUACUGUUGCAUGCUGUCCUCUCAAGCUGGAAUGUCCUCUUCUGAUUUCUCAUCUGGAAAACACCACUUCAUCUCUCAAGACCAAGCUCCAAAGUUUCAUGUUCUGUGAUGUUUUCCCAGGUUCCCCAGUAAGAAUUAUUUCCUUUCCCCCUAUCUUUUUAUUUGCAUCUUUUCUACAACCCUUUUUGAACAUGUGCCAGGCUUUGGUGGUUCCACAGAUGCUGGGAGCUGCAGGGAAGAGGCCAUGCAUUAGCCUGUCCAUGGACAUCCAGCAGCUCUAGGAGGAACUGUAACUGGUACCUGUUUCACAGAUGCUUGGGAUUCAGUGAAAGAAUGAGAACAGCACCUCAGGCCUGGUCUCUGGGCACUUGCUUGACUGACCCUUGGCUCACUACAUGGUUGACAGCAUUCGUUCAUUCUCCCUUCCUUUGCCCACUCCUCAUUGCCUUCCACCAGCAGUUUAAGCCUUUCAUCUGGUGUUCAGGGAGCCUGUGUCUCAGCUGGGGCUCAGCUGCUGGGUUAUCAGUGCCAAUGAGCAUACUCAGGUUGGAUUUCUGGUCUGCCCAGGGCCUUGGAAAUGUGCCCUCAAUGCUCUCUUGGGUGAGUUUCCUUGAUGCUGGGUGUCCUGGGUGGAAAGGUCUUUGAAGUGUUCUGUGCCUGAUCUGGAAUCCUGGAGCAGCUCAAAAAUGCUUCUCUGAAGUCCAUGCGACCAACAGUUCCG